GACGAACGCUGGCGGCGUGCUUAACACAUGCAAGUCGAACGAUGAAGCCGGAGCUUGCUCUGGUGAAUUAGUGGCGAACGGGUGAGUAACACGUGAGUAACCUGCCCUUGACUCUGGGAUAACUGCGGGAAACUGUAGCUAAUACCGGAUACGACCCUCGGAGGCAUCUCCUGGGGGUGGAAAGAAUUUCGGUCAAGGAUGGACUCGCGGCCUAUCAGCUAGUUGGUGAGGUAAAGGCUCACCAAGGCGACGACGGGUAGCCGGCCUGAGAGGGUGACCGGCCACACUGGGACUGAGACACGGCCCAGACUCCUACGGGAGACAGCAGUGGGGAAUAUUGCACAAUGGGCGCAAGCCUGAUGCAGCAACGCCGCGUGAGGGAUGACGGCCUUCGGGUUGUAAACCUCUUUUAGCAGGGAAGAAGCGAAAGUGACGGUACCUGCAGAAAAAGCACCGGCUAACUACGUGCCAGCAGCCGCAGUAA
rnacentral:rRNA from 1 species